UACGGAGGGUGCGAGCGUUGUCCGGAAUCACUGGGCGUAAAGGGCGCGUAGGUGGCCUGAUGAGUCAACGGUGAAAGCUCGUCGCUUAACGACGAGUCGGCCGUCGAUACUGUCGGGCUGGAGCACUGUAGAGGCAGAUGGAAUUCCGGGUGUAGCGGUGGAAUGCGUAGAGAUCCGGAAGAACACCGGUGGCGAAGGCGGCGUUCUGGACUGUCUCUGACACUGAAGAACGAAAGCCAGGGGAGCAAACGGG
rnacentral:rRNA from 1 species